GAGGGUAUAUCUCAGUGGUAGAGCACAUGCUUAGCAUGCACGAGGUCCUGGGUUCAAUCCCCAGUACCUCUG
rnacentral:tRNA from 1 species